rnacentral:rRNA from 1 species
GUUAUUAUCACAUAACUCAAGAACCUCUGAUGAAAUAAAUCAAUGACUCUUUAAUCAACAUUAAAGGGACUUUAUAAAGAUAGUCAAAGAGUGAUUGAAAUUGUAGGGAGGGAAGCGGAUGGGGGCCGGUGAUUCGCCUCGGUCAGAUAUGGAAAGGUGGUGAAUCGGUCCGCUAAUCGAUUCAGGGAGUCGACCAACAUGGAUUAGGGGAGAGGACAAGGGGCGAGCUCUCGAUACGCCUAUGGAAUGUCGUCUUCUAAAUUGUGGUAGGCAACAUGCCCCUCUGGCAUACUACGACAUCUACGCGCUCUAGACCCUGGCCUAUGGGCUCCUUGUUCGACAUGUCUUGAAACACGUACUAAGAGUUUGAUAUGUGUGUGAGUCAACGGGCGAGUAAACCUGUAAGCCUUAAGGAAGAUGAUUGGUGGUAUCCCCCUAAGGUGUUCACCCCCGACCGACCUUGAUCUUCUCAGAAGGGUUAGAGUGUGAGCAUACCUGCCGGGACCCAAAACAUAGUGAAAUAUGCCUUAGCGGGGAGAAGCUAGAGGACACUCUGGUCGAGGCCCGCAGCGAUACUGACAUGCAAAUCAUUCGUAUAACAUUGGUAUAUGGGAGAAAGACUAAUCAAACCAUCAAGUAGCUGGUUCCCUCCAAAGUUUACCUCCGGAUAGCUGGAGCUCGCGUGCAAAUUCUAUCGGGUAACGCAAAUUAUUAGAGGACUCGGGAGAUAAAUGCCCUCGACCCAUUCUCAAACAUUAAAUAGGUAGGACGGCGCGACUGUUUUGUUGAUCCGCGCCAUAUAAUCAAAAGCUACAACCUUGUCAUUUUUUAUAUUUAGAAUUGGCGAUGUGGGAUGAACCUAAAAAAGACAGGCUAUGGUUCCAAACUGCACUAACCUAGAUCCCACAAAGGGUAUUGGUCGAUUAAGAAAGCAGGAAGGUUGUCAUGGAAGUAGAAAUCCGCUAACGAGUGUGUAACAACUCACUAUUCGGAUCAACUAGCCCUGAAAAUUGAUGGAAAUUAAGCAAGAUGAGUAGGGGGGCGUAGCGGUCGCUUUAUCACCUUGGGCGUGAGACUAGGCGCAACGGUCAUCGGUGCAAAUCUUGGUGAUAGUAACCAAUAUUCAAAUGAGAACUUUUAAGUCCGAAGAGGGGAAAGGUUCCAUGUGAACGGAACUUGAACAUGCGUUAAUCGAUCCUAAAGGUUGGGGGAGCCCCGACAGAUAGCAUGUUUCGCGCAUACUCCGAAAGGAAAUCAGGUUAAAUUUCCUGAAAGGCGAUGUGGCAGUUGACUCUAAAGUUAAAAAGUGUGGAGACAUCGGCGGAUGCCUCGGGAAGAGUUAUAUUUUAUGUUUAAUAGCCUACCCACCCUGGAUUCGACUUAGGCGAAGGUGGGGUCCAGUAGCUGGAAGAGCACCGCAUGUUACGUGGUGUCCAGUGCACUCCUCGAGUCCCUUUAAAAUUAGAAGGAUCGAAUGUCAUCCAUGCCCGGUCGUACUCAUAACCACAUCAGGUCUCCAAGGUGAACUACCUCUAGUCGAUGGAACAAUGUAGGCAAGGGAAGUAGGCACGGGGGUCCCACUCCUUAACUCGUCGGCAGUCGGUGGACUACUCGAGCUGCUCCUAUAGCGAGAACGGGUCGCCACUUGGUGGCUGGGGGACGAACUGGGAAUGGUUCCUUCGGGUGCCUACCAAGGGCAUCGAAAAUCCAACUGAAUACUAGUAAGUACAAGGGGAAUUCUACUGUUUAACUAAAUCAAAGCAUUGGGAUUGUCCCAACGGAUGUUUACUCAAUGUGAUUUCUGCCCAGUCUUUGAAUGUUUAAGUGAAGAAAUUCAACCAAGCACGGGUAAAUGGAGAGAGUAAAUUUGUUUGUCUUAAGGUAUCCAAAUGCCUCGUUAUCUAAUUAGUGACGCACAUGAAUGGAUUAACGAGAUUCCCAUUGUUCCUGUCUACUAUGCAGCAAAACCACAGCCAAGGGAACGAUCUUGGCCGAAUCAGCGGAGAAAGAAGACCCUGUUGAGAAUAAUUAUACUCCGACUUUGUGAAAUGACAUGAGAGGUGUAGUAUAAGUGGGAGCUAAAAGGCAAAAGUGAAAUACCGCUACUUUUAACAUUAUUUUACUUCUUCCGUGAAUCAGAAGUGGGGCACUUUCCCUCUUUUUGGACCCAAGGCUUCCUUUGUGGGCCAAUCUGGGCGGAAGACAUUGUCAGGUGAGGAGUUUGGCUGUGGUGGCACAUCUUGUUUAAGAUAACGCAAGUUUUCUAAGAUGAGAUCAACGAGAACAAAGAUCUCGUGUGGGACAGAAGGUUAAAAUCUUAUUUGAUUUUGAUUUCCAGUAUGAAUAAUAACCAUGAAAGCAAGGCCUAACGAUCCUUUAGACCGUUGGAAUUUGAUUCUAGCGCGGGGAUAACUGUCCUGUGGCAGCAAAGCAUUCAUAGCGAUGUUGCUUUUUGAUCCUUCGAUGUCCGUUCUUCCAAUCAUUGUGAACCAAAAUUCAGCAAGUGUUGGAUUGUUCACCCACUUAUAGGAUACGUGAGCUGGGUUUAGACCAUCUUGACACAGGUUAGUUUACCCUACUAAUGAUAUUGUCGAAAUAGUAAGUCAACCUAGUACGAGAGGAAUUGUUGAAUCACAAAAUUGGCUAUUUCUCAUGGUUGAAAAGACAAUGGCGCGAAGCUACCAUGUGCUGGAUUAUAAGUGAAUGCCUCUAAGUAAUAAUUUGAACUCAAAAGUGAACCAUGCCCCCCCUGUACGCUUGCCUAACCGCAGUGGGGGCCUCUAACCCCCAAGGGUUCGUGUCAUUAGCAAAGUCUCCGUGACGGAAGCGACGCGGUGACUAUGUUGAAGUACAAUUUCCAUCGAGCGGUAGGUAGAGUCCUUUUUAGAUGACUUAAGUACGCAACUUGGUAUUGUAACUGGCAGAGUGGACUUGGUACCACGGUCCACUAAGAUUCAUCCCUUUGUCGCUACGAUUCAU